UCUCCGUAGGUGAACCUGCGGAAGGAUCAUUCAUAAUAAAGUGUUUUAUGGCACUUUUUAAAAAUCCAUAUCCACCUUGUGUGCAAUGUUAGAACUCGUCAAUCUUGGCGAGAUUUUUAUACAUCAACUCAUUCUUUAACUAAUUUGUCUGAAAAAUAUUAUGAAUACUUAAUUCAAAAUACAACUUUCAACAACGGAUCUCUUGGCUCUC
rnacentral:misc_RNA from 1 species